GAAGAUGAGGAAGGAUCAUUA
rnacentral:rRNA from 1 species